CCGAAUGCUUGAAGCCCGUGGUGUUGUUCUUAAGGCUAUCAUCGUGUACAGCAAAAGCCAUCAAUUGAACUUUCCGAGCAACAAGAGCAUCCGAUCCGGGAGGGAAGCUAAGCAACAAUCAUCCGCCACGGAGGCAAUUCUACUUGGAGUAAAACUGAAAUACAAAUUCAAUUCAAUUUAAAACAUUGCUCCUCCGAUCUAAAACUAAACUCGGCUGCCUUCCUUUUCCUCCGAUCCGGAUCUGCCAUAAUACGUGUCACAACGAAAACCAUUUCAGCACUUCCGGGUACAUCUAAAUAAAUUUAGGGACUUCCGCAAAAUAUGGAAGCAAACGCAGCGAAGAAUCACCGCUUCUAGCCACAACGACCUUUGGCAGCGCUUUCUGUCAAAUACUAACGAGGCCUUGGCACCAGCACAAUGUUGUUCUCUCGGACGUUGCCUAAUGUUAACUUGUUGUAUUACAACACUGAACAUCUCUUGCUUGAUCGUUGCCGACAAGAACCAACGAAGUCUCUUACGGCGGGAUUACAAAGGCGCGUGUCACAAUGAAACUCGCAGAUAUAGAAACAUCCGCUCGGUAACAGUAACAUCAACAUGUAUCACUAGCGCCCGAAGAACUUUUCUCUCACGUGGAACGUUGUUAGGUUUGAAUGUCAUACCGGUUGUGGAGGAGUCCUGUGUUUUAUGUGUAUUGCUUGGUGGCGAACUGGAAGAACUGCAUUGUGGGAUCGAGAACAGGAAGGCAAGAUAGGCAAUUCAGGCAAGACGAAGAUUUGCUAAAAUCUUUGGCACAGGUUCAAAGGGACUGAACGCAUACUCAACAACAACAUAAUCAAAGUGAGUGCAGCAACUGCAGCUCACCCAUAGUACUGGUGCCAAAACCAGACGGUACCAACGAUUAUGAGUGGACUAUCGCAUGUCAAAACAAAGUCUGAUUCAUAUCCUAUUCCACAUUUGGAAGACUGUAUUUCGGAAGGUGGGACAACCAAUUUAUAUUUCUAAGUUGGACUUACUUAGAGGAUACUGGCACGUACCUUUAUCCAAAAAGAGUGAAGACAAUUUCAGCUUUCGUGACAUGAAAUGGACUGUACCAAUUUAAUGAAAUGCUAUUUGGCAUGAAAAAUGCACUAGCCACAUUUCAAAGACUAACCAAUAAAGUCAUUUUUGGAUGACCCAAUUGUGUGAUGUACAUCAAUGACCUUGGGAUUUUUAGUCACACAUAGAAGUAACAUUUUCACCAUCAAUCGGAAUUUUUCACUCAACUUCAGAUGGCAGACUUGAUGACAAAUCUGGCUAAGAGUGAGUUCACAAAAGCCCAACUCACAUUCUUGGGCCAUGUCAUUGAACAUGGAUUGAUUGCCCCAUGGGAUGUGAAAACAAAGGUUAAUGGAGAGUUUUUCAUACCUUCAACAAAGAGGACAGUCCAAUAAUUUCGGGGAAUGAGAGGUUUUUUAUCAGAAAUUUGUACAAAAGGUUAGCAGUGUAGUUGCCCCACUGCUUAUUGAAGUGCAGAAAAUUUCAGUGGACAGCUGACUGUCGCAAGGCAUUUGACAGCCUGAAAACUGUGUUAACUCCUGCCCCAGUGUCAACCAGACCUAUCACAAGCUUUCAGAACACUGCUCCUUCAUCAGGUGAAGUCACUUCAGAAGUGAAGUCACUGCACUGAAGAGCAGUGCUUUGCAAACUGGUGAUUUCAAAUAAACAUGUCGGACUAUUAUCUGGUGUCAUGUGACUUCUGACUUUGGGAUAACAAACAGCUUGUGAGGUCUUGGGCUUUUUUUUAAAGUUAGAACAAUAGAAGCAACUGGCUGACAGACCAGGAUUUCUGUUUUUUCUUAAAUUAUAUUAACUUUUAUAUUCAGCAGAAGCAGAAACUACUCUUUUCCCAUUCUCAGUUACAGCUAGAAGCUAGGGUUUAUGUUCUUAAUGUGGGUGUUGCAUGCAAGAAAAUCUGAUUUCUGAAUUUGCCUUUAUGUUAAGGGGUGUGUUUAUUGGAUGUUAUUAUAUUGAAAGUUGAUUAAUAAUAGUUACAGUAUCUAUUAUUGUUGUUUCCCAUCAGUUAAGUUACUCCAACUACUCCUUUAAUUUGUUGUACUUUGCCUAGUUUGUUUGAAUAAAUUGUGUUUUUCUUAACGUCAAAUAGUUUGACCAAUCAAAUUGAAUAAAGUUAGAGUCGAGGCUACCUUCU